rnacentral:rRNA from 1 species
CCUUUUGUAUAAUGGGUCAGCGACUUAUAUUCUGUAGCAAGGUUAACCGAAUAGGGGAGCCGAAGGGAAACCGAGUCUUAACUGGGCGUUAAGUUGCAGGGUAUAGACCCGAAACCCGGUGAUCUAGCCAUGGGCAGGUUGAAGGUUGGGUAACACUAACUGGAGGACCGAACCGACUAAUGUUGAAAAAUUAGCGGAUGACUUGUGGCUGGGGGUGAAAGGCCAAUCAAACCGGGAGAUAGCUGGUUCUCCCCGAAAGCUAUUUAGGUAGCGCCUCGUGAAUUCAUCUCCGGGGGUAGAGCACUGUUUCGGCAAGGGGGUCAUCCCGACUUACCAACCCGAUGCAAACUGCGAAUACCGGAGAAUGUUAUCACGGGAGACACACGGCGGGUGCUAACGUCCGUCGUGAAGAGGGAAACAACCCAGACCGCCAGCUAAGGUCCCAAAGUCAUGGUUAAGUGGGAAACGAUGUGGGAAGGCCCAGACAGCCAGGAUGUUGGCUUAGAAGCAGCCAUCAUUUAAAGAAAGCGUAAUAGCUCACUGGUCGAGUCGGCCUGCGCGGAAGAUGUAACGGGGCUAAACCAUGCACCGAAGCUGCGGCAGCGACACUAUGUGUUGUUGGGUAGGGGAGCGUUCUGUAAGCCUGUGAAGGUGUGCUGUGAGGCAUGCUGGAGGUAUCAGAAGUGCGAAUGCUGACAUAAGUAACGAUAAAGCGGGUGAAAAGCCCGCUCGCCGGAAGACCAAGGGUUCCUGUCCAACGUUAAUCGGGGCAGGGUGAGUCGACCCCUAAGGCGAGGCCGAAAGGCGUAGUCGAUGGGAAACAGGUUAAUAUUCCUGUACUUGGUGUUACUGCGAAGGGGGGACGGAGAAGGCUAUGUUGGCCGGGCGACGGUUGUCCCGGUUUAAGCGUGUAGGCUGGUUUUCCAGGCAAAUCCGGAAAAUCAAGGCUGAGGCGUGAUGACGAGGCACUACGGUGCUGAAGCAACAAAUGCCCUGCUUCCAGGAAAAGCCUCUAAGCAUCAGGUAACAUCAAAUCGUACCCCAAACCGACACAGGUGGUCAGGUAGAGAAUACCAAGGCGCUUGAGAGAACUCGGGUGAAGGAACUAGGCAAAAUGGUGCCGUAACUUCGGGAGAAGGCACGCUGAUAUGUAGGUGAAGCGACUUGCUCGUGGAGCUGAAAUCAGUCGAAGAUACCAGCUGGCUGCAACUGUUUAUUAAAAACACAGCACUGUGCAAACACGAAAGUGGACGUAUACGGUGUGACGCCUGCCCGGUGCCGGAAGGUUAAUUGAUGGGGUCAG